rnacentral:lncRNA from 1 species
CCCAGAUAUUCAAGCCUUUAGAAUAGUUAUUAAAAUAAAGGUUUUAUAUUACACUUUAGUUUCUUUUCAUUUUUUUUUUUUUUCCUGAUGGAGUCUUGAUGGACCUGCCAGGUGUAUCCACACCUGGGACAGGAGGGAAGCCAAACAGAAAACUCAGAUGGGCACUGAAGAGUGGCAAGUGAAAAGAAUCCCCCUUUAGUACUUUUUGAAACUGGAUAGGGUACUUGUGGCAAGAGAGGGUGAUGACAUAGAGGUCUGAACUUGAAGCACUUAGACUAGAAAAAAAGGAAGGGGUCAUCAAAGUCAUGGUUGUUGAAAUCAGAUUCUCUUUGGUUGAGGGUGGAACUAGGUCUAGAGGAGUAGAAAAUGGGGAAAAGGAAGAAAAUCCCCAUUAUUUAGCUUUCUGGGUGCCCAGGUGGUUUAGUGUCCAGACUUUCUCUCCCUGCUCUGUUCUUUUUUUUUUUUUUAAUAUUUACGUAUUUAUUUGGCUGUGCCAGUUCCUGGUCACAGCAUGCAAACCCUUAGUUGAGGCAUGUGGGAUCCAGUCCCCUUACCAGGGAUGGAACUCAGGCCCUCUGCAUUGGGAGCAUGGAGUCCUGGCCACUGGACUACCAGGGAAGUCCCCCUUCUCUCCUCCUUUUUCUCUCUUGUCCCAGGUUAAGGUGAUGGUCUAUAAGAAUGCUCUCCACCAUAUCUCAGGGAACAUUUUUAUGCUUCCCUCAUAUACAGUUCAUUAUUCCCAGAAAUAUUUAUGUGACACUAUGUUGGGCUUUCCUAGUAGCUCAAAGGGCUUCUCUGGUGGCUCAAAUCUGCCUGCAAGGCAGAAGACCCAAAUUUGA